UACGUAGGGGGCAAGCGUUGUCCGGAUUUAUUGGGCGUAAAGAGCGUGUAGGCGGCUUGGUAGGUCCGCUGUGAAAACUCGAGGCUCAACCUCGAGAUGUCGGCGGAAACCACUUGGCUAGAGUCCGGAAGAGGAGAGUGGAAUUCCCGGUGUAGCGGUGAAAUGCGCAGAUAUCGGGAAGAACACCUAUGGCGAAGGCAGCUCUCUGGGGACGGUACUGA
rnacentral:rRNA from 1 species